rnacentral:rRNA from 1 species
UACAGAGGUCUCAAGCGUUGUUCGGAUUCAUUGGGCGUAAAGGGCGCGUAGGCUGCGGGGCAAGUCGGGUGUGAAAUCUCAGAGCUCAACUCUGAAACUGCACUCGAUACUGCUUUGCUUGAGGACUGGAGAGGAGAUUGGAAUUCACGGUGUAGCAGUGAAAUGCGUAGAUAUCGUGAGGAAGACCAGUGGCGAAGGCGGAUCUCUGGGCUGAUACUGACGCUCAUGCACGAAAGCGUGGGGAGCAAACAGG